rnacentral:snoRNA from 1 species
GUCGACUUUACUUCAUAGAAUCAUUUCUAUAGGUAACGUCCCCUACUAAGGUUCUUACCAGAGCCACAGUAUCCACAACCUGGCUGAUGAUCGUUGGCCUCGCUGCCCUAGAGUGACGGUUUCUGGUUCGCAGCCCUCACGGGAGGCGCCUUAAUUGCGUCUGCUUCGGCGGACGUGGGAAUGAUCUUUGUCCUGUGCCUGGUGUCUUUGCGUUCGCGCGGCCGGCCAGGACGGGCGGCGAUGGUGAUCUGACAGGC